rnacentral:rRNA from 1 species
GACGAACGCUGGCGGCGUGCCUAAUACAUGCAAGUCGAGCGAAUCUUUAGGAGCUUGCUCCUGAAGGUUAGCGGCGGACGGGUGAGUAACACGUGGGCAACCUGCCUGUAAGACUGGGAUAACACCGGGAAACCGGUGCUAAUACCGGAUAAUUCUUUCCCUCACAUGAGGGAAAGCUGAAAGUCGGUUUCGGCUGACACUUACAGAUGGGCCCGCGGCGCAUUAGCUAGUUGGUGAGGUAACGGCUCACCAAGGCGACGAUGCGUAGCCGACCUGAGAGGGUGAUCGGCCACACUGGGACUGAGACACGGCCCAGACUCCUACGGGAGGCAGCAGUAGGGAAUCUUCCGCAAUGGACGAAAGUCUGACGGAGCAACGCCGCGUGAGUGAUGAAGGCCUUCGGGUCGUAAAACUCUGUUGUUAGGGAAGAACAAGUAUCGGAGUAACUGCCGGUACCUUGACGGUACCUAACCAGAAAGCCACGGCUAACUACGUGCCAGCCGCCGCGGUAAUAC